UCAUAUAUCUUUAUUACUCAUUGCCCUUCUGUCCAGCUUCUGCCACGUCGCUUCUUCAUCCACCGUUGAUCUUGUGCCACUUCUCCCUCUCCAUUCUUCACCUCCACUGCUUCCCUUCCUCUUUGUUCUUUUGCGGGUUUCUCAGAACUCCUGAUGAGUUCCUCCCUCUUUCUUCACCCUUUCUCUUUCCUAUGUGAAUGUCGAACAUCGGUACUCUCUCCUCUUCAUUUUCUUCCAUUUUUUAUCUCCACCUACUUUCCAGAUUAUCUUGUCUUUCUACGGAUGUGAAGAUCAGAAAUUGAAAAAAAGAAUGUGCUAUGGAUUGCGAUGCCGGAUUUUUCUCUCCUCCUUCAGCUUGCAAUCAACACUCUCACUUCGUCUUCUUUCUCCCUGGUAUAAUUCUAUCUUCUCUGGUUUUGUUACAUUAGGGUUCUAUUUUUGCUUGUAAUUGCUGAAUUAGGGUUUUUAAUUGAAUUGGCAAAUUAAUUUAGCGUUUUUGUUGCAUAAAUAUGUUAAUUUUAUGAUUAAAUCGGAUCAUUUUGAUUUCAAUUGAUUCCACUUUUGUUCAAUUUUCUUCAUCUUUGAUUUUCAGUUGCCUUUUUUCUAUUUUUGAUUAUAGCUGGCUUUUCGCAAAAAUUCUUGAGCUAGAGUGGUAUAUUAACCUCAUGGAACAAAUAAUUUUACGUGAUCAUUUAAGGAGAUCGGAAAAAUCCCUGUAUUUUUCAUCCUUUCAAUAAGCCAUAUGUUGUCAGACAUCUAGGAAUAUGAUACAGUUGAUGAGAUUUUAGAUAUUUUUGUUGGCAGGCUAGAAGAGAAAAGAUCAGUGAGAGGAUGAGAAUAUUACAGGAUCUUGUCCCUGGGUGUAAUAAGGUCAUUGGCAAGGCACUGGUACUUGACGAGAUCAUAAAUUAUAUCCAAUCAUUACAGCGUCAAGUUGAGUUUCUUUCAAUGAAAUUAGAAGCUGUCAAUACGAGAACCAGCCCUGGUAUUGAAGGAUUUCCGUCAAAAGAUCACAAAAUAUUUCCGUGGAUGCGUAGGAGAUGAACAAUCUUGCAAUUCCAGAACCAAGGGCUUUUCCAUGUAUUGCUUCAGUCUUGAAGUGAAAGGCCAUUGGAUGUUACCCAUGCUCAUGCUUUUGUUCAGGCCGGAUGUUCAUCUGCCCAGCUUUCAAGUAUAUUACCGCCUGGGGACCGCCUUAUCAGGAGAGAUGUGAAAAAUGAAGGGAGAUAAAUC